AGAUUAAGUUAUUAAGGGCGCACGGUGGAUGCCUUGGCACUAGAAGCCGAUGAAGGACGUUACUAACGACGAUAUGCUUUGGGGAGCUGUAAGCUUUGAUCCAGAGAUUUCGAAUGGAAACCCAGCACGAGUUAUGUCGUGUUAUCUGCAUGUGAAUACAUAGCAUGCAAGAAGGCAGACCCGGAGAACUGAAACAUCUUAGUACCCGGAGGAAGAGAAAGAAAAAUCGAUUCCCUGAGUAGCGGCGAGCGAAACGGGAGAGCCCAAUAAGCUUGCUUAUUGGGGUUGUAGGACACUCUGUACGGAGUUACAAAAGAAUUUGUUAGACGAAUAACCUGGAAAGGUUAAUCAGAGAAGGUAAUAAUCCUGUAGUCGAAAACGAAUUCUCUCUUGAGUGGAUCCUGAGUACGACGGAGCACGUGAAAUUCCGUCGGAAUCUGGGAGGACCAUCUCCUAAGGCUAAAUACUCUAGUGACCGAUAGUGAACCAGUACCGUGAGCUUUCCCUACACGACGCUCUUCCGGAGUGAAAGAGAACUUGAAACCGUGUGCUUACAAGUAGUCAGAGCCCGUUAAUGGGUGAUGGCGUGCCUUUUGUAGAAUGAACCGGCGAGUUACGAUCUGAUGCAAGGUUAAGCAGAAAAUGGAAAUGUGGAGCCGUAGCGAAAGCGAGUCUGAAUAGGGCGAAUGAGUAUUUGGUCGUAGACCCGAAACCAGGUGAUCUACCCUUGGUCAGGUUGAAGUUCAGGUAACACUGAAUGGAGGACCGAACCGACUUACGUUGAAAAGUGAGCGGAUGAACUGAGGGUAGCGGAGAAAUUCCAAUCGAACUUGGAGAUAGCUGGUUCUCUCGAAAUAGCUUUAGGGCUAGCCUCAAGUGAUGAUUAUUGGAGGUAGAGCACUGUUUGGACGAGGGGCCCCUCUCGGGUUACCGAAUUCAGACAAACUCCGAAUGCCAAAUAAUUUAACUUGGGAGUCAGAAUGUGGGUGAUAAGGUCCAUAUUCGAAAGGGCAACAAACAAAACCACCAGCUAAGGUCCCAAAAUAUAUGUUAAGUGGAAAGGAUGUGGCGUUGCCCAGACAACUAGGAUGUUGGCUGAGCACCCAUCAUUUAAAGAGUGCGUAAUAGCUCACUAGUCGAGUGACACUGCGCCGAAAAUGUACCGGGGCUAAACAUAUUACCGAAGCUGUGGAUUGUCCUUUGGACAAUGGUAGGAGAGCGUUCUAAGGGCGUUGAAGCAUGAUCGCAAGGACAUGUGGAGCGCUUAGAAGUGAGAAUGCCGGUGGGUAGCGAAAGACGGGUGAAAACCCGUCCACCGAUUGACUAAGGUUUCCAGAGGAAGGCUCGUCCGCUCUGGGUUAGUCGGGUCCUAAGCUGAGGCCGACAGGCGUAGGCGAUGGAUAACAGGUUGAUAUUCCUGUACCACCAUUAUUCGUUUUAAGCGAUGGGGGGACGCAGUAGGAUAGGCGAAGCGUGCUGUUGGAGUGCACGUCCAAGCAGUGAGAUUGAGUGUUAGGCAAAUCCGGCACUCUUAAGAUUGAGCUGUGAUGGGGAGAGGAACUUGUUCCUCGAGUCGUUGAUUUCACACUGCCGAGAAAAGCCUCUAGCUAGAAUAACGGUGCCCGUACCGCAAACCGACACAGGUAGUCAAGAUGAGAAUUCUAAGGUGAGCGAGCGAACUCUCGUUAAGGAACUCGGCAAAAUGACCCCGUAACUUCGGGAGAAGGGGUGCUCUUUGAGGUUCACGCUUCGAAGAGCCGCAGUGAAUAGGCCCAAGCGACUGUUUAUCAAAAACACAGGUCUCUGCUAAACCGUAAGGUGACGUAUAGGGGCUGACGCCUCCCCGGUGCUGGAAGGUUAAGAGGAGUGGUUAGCGCAAGCGAAGCUACGAAUCGAAGCCCCAGUAAACGGCGGCCGUAACUAUAACGGUCCUAAGGUAGCGAAAUUCCUUGUCGGGUAAGUUCCGACCCGCACGAAAGGCGUAACGAUUUGGGCACUGUCUCAACGAGAGACUCGGUGAAAUCAUAGUACCGGUGAAGAUGCCGGUUACCCGCGACAGGACGGAAAGACCCCGUGGAGCUUUACUGUAGCCUGAUAUUGAAAUUCGGUACAGUUUGUACAGGAUAGGUAGGAGCCUUAGAAGCGUGAGCGCUAGCUUACGUGGAGGCAUUGGUGGGAUACUACCCUAAUUGUAUUGGAUUUCUAACAGAUCGAUCGGGCUGGGAGACAGUGUCAGGCGGGCAGUUUGACUGGGGCGGUCGCCUCCUAAAGAGUAACGGAGGCGCUCAAAGGUUCCCUCAGAAUGGUUGGAAAUCAUUCAUAGAGUGUAAAGGCAUAAGGGAGCUUGACUGCGAGACCUACAAGUCGAGCAGGGUCGAAAGACGGACUUAGUGAUCCGGUGGUCGCCGAAUGAUUAAACAAAACACAACGGAUAAAAGCUACCCCGGGGAUAACAGGCUUAUCUCCCCCAAGAGUUCACAUCGACGGGGAGGUUUGGCACCUCGAUGUCGGCUCAUCGCAUCCUGGGGCUGUAGUCGGUCCCAAGGGUUGGGCUGUUCGCCCAUUAAAGCGGUACGCGAGCUGGGUUCAGAACGUCGUGAGACAGUUCGGUCCCUAUCCGUCGUGGGCGUAGGAAAUUUGAGAGGAGCUGUCCUUAGUACGAGAGGACCGGGAUGGACAUACCUCUGGUGUACCAGUUGUCGUGCCAACGGCAUAGCUGGGUACUGAUCUCCAGUCACUCCGCGAAAGCACCUAAAUGAAGCCCCCCUCGAGAUGAGAUUUCCCAACUUCGGUUAUAAGAUCCCUCAAAGACGAUGAGGUGAAUAGGUUCGAGGUGGAAGCGUAGCGAUACGUGGAGCUGACGAAUACUAAUCGAUCGAAGACUUAAUCAA
rnacentral:rRNA from 1 species